CUACGGGCCGCAGCAGUGGGGAAUAUUGGACAAUGGGGGAAACCCUGAUGCAGCAACGCCGCGUGGAGGAUGACGCAUUUCGGUGUGUAAACUCCUUUUAUAUAGGAAGAUAAUGACGGUACUAUAUGAAUAAGCACCGGCUAACUCCGUGCCAGCAGCCGCGGUAAUACGGAGGGUGCAAGCGUUACUCGGAAUCACUGGGCGUAAAGCGCGCGCAGGCGGCCUUUUAAGUUGGAUGUGAAAGCCUAUGGCUUAACCAUAGAACUGCAUCCAAAACUAUCAGGCUAGAGUCUGGGAGGGGAAGAUGGAAUUAGUUGUGUAGGGGUAAAAUCCGUAGAGAUAACUAGGAAUACCAAAAGCGAAGGCGAUCUUCUGGAACAGUACUGACGCUGAGGCGCGAAAGCGUGGGGAGCAAACAGGAUUAGAUACCCUAGUAGUC
rnacentral:rRNA from 1 species